UGCUGUCGGCGGUUUACGACAGCCACGCUCAGAAAGGUCGUGUCUUCUCUCCAUGAAGCAGCCGGAGUAAAGGAGGGUGUUUAGUAAUCUGAACACUCCAGUUUCUAUGAAGAUAUUAGAAGACAUGAUAGAGCCAUCUUUCAUGAGAAGCAUUCAAGGAAGACAUCUCUGGAAUUCCUGUUUUCCUCUUGAAAGUGCCUUUGAAAACCAGUGCGCCACAGACAGCUUUGGGAGGUCUGCCCUGCCCUCUGCCGUUCCUCAAAGUAAAUGCAGCCACCAUCCACAUUUACUUUAUGUGCAUGAUGAGAACCAGAGUGUUUUGCCAACUAUGGGCUGAGCACUCUCAGCCUGUCAGGCAAUUAGUAGACAUACACCAUCUUAACUCCUUCUUAAUAUUCAUCAUGAUCCUAUGAGAUGAAUAAAAUUCCUAUUUCACAUUUGAGGAACUCUUCCCAGAGACACUAUGCAAUGUGUUCAGGACACACAGCUAAUAAAGUUCUGCAGCUUUGGUCCUGGCCGACGUUAAAAUACACAGUCA